UUGAUUAAAAAAUAAAUAAGAAAAGAAAAAGAAAAAUUGUGCAUUAUAGAAAAAUUGAUCGUCUUUCCCUUAUAUGUUCUCACUUUCUUCAAUCUUGCCCCAUCAAUGCCUUCUCUCUCCCUUCCUAAAACCUAAUCAAAUUUCUACUCGAAAGCCCUUGUAUUUUUUUAUUGGAAUUCAGCAAGCCCAGAUUUGGCGCUCUAUCUCUCCUCCAUAGCUUGAUUUCUCUCCACUCCGUUUCUGCUUUUAUGUCUCUUCUUCUCUUACAAGUGUUUUGGUACCAAUUCUUCCCGUGUUCGAUUUCAAGUGCGGUCUUCUUUUAUUCAUGCUUGUAUUUAUUGUGUUUGAAUGGGAUUAUUGUACUUUAUUACUGUGAUUUUGGAGAUAGUGAUAGAUAUGGGGUGAUUAGAAUUUAUCGCAGAAUUCUCUUGCAAUUGGACAAAAGAAAGGAAAUUGAUUUCUAAGUGUUUUUUAUUGGAGAGGGAACAAAGUUCCCUUCUUUAUUUCUUAAAAAUAUUACCGAUUCUUGUAUUGGUCUUUUCCCAAUUUGGUAUAGCAUAUGAUUGUGCAUUAAUUUGGCAUUCUUUGGAUUCGCUUCUGGGUAUGGAGCUAGCUAUUUGUAUUCUUUCUUUUUCUUGCUAUGCUUGCUUGUUGUCAUCAACUAAACAAGCAGCAAGCUUGUUUUUUAUUCAAUUGAAUUUAAUUUGAUUGUAUAUUUCUAUGUGGUGAACUGUGAUUGUCAUCAAGAGUAUUGGAUGGAUGGAGUACCUCAAUUUCUUGCAAUUAUUUUUCAUCUAGGUUGGUUUGCCCAUUGGCAUUUUCGGGCCUAUUGAGAAUUAAUUCCAUGCAUAAAACAGAGAACUUGAUGUUCAUUCUUGAUAGCCAGAAGACAUUCAGAUUAGCCUGCUGGCAAAGUUCUAGAUAAGCACACAGAUCAUUAUAUAUUAUUUGGCAAUUUGUUGCCCUAUCGUUGGGAUGGGAAAUCACCCAAUGAAGUUUUCUUUUUCCAUCUCUUUUUGAGUCAUGGUUUUGCUUUGCAAUGUAUGAUUGAGUCAUUUCGAUCUAAUUAUAAAUCUCAAAACAUAAAUUAUAUAGUCAUUAAUUGUAAUGAUGGAGAGGUUACUCUUAAACUGUGAUUCAUUUUUUCCCUAUAUGUCAUAAAGAAAGUUUGAAUCUUCAUGUCCUGUCAUUUCUUCUUCUCCUUCUUGGGCCCUUCUCUGCUAGAUUUUUAUAGUGAAGUUAGUGAUCAUAA
rnacentral:lncRNA from 1 species